rnacentral:rRNA from 1 species
UGGGGAAUAUUGCACAAUGGGCGCAAGCCUGAUGCAGCCAUGCCGCGUGUAUGAAGAAGGCCUUCGGGUUGUAAAGUACUUUCAGCGAGGAGGAAGGCAUUAAGGUUAAUAACCUUAGUGAUUGACGUUACUCGCAGAAGAAGCACCGGCUAACUCCGUGCCAGCAGCCGCGGUAAUACGGAGGGUGCAAGCGUUAAUCGGAAUUACUGGGCGUAAAGCGCACGCAGGCGGUUUGUUAAGUCAGAUGUGAAAUCCCCGGGCUCAACCUGGGAACUGCAUUUGAAACUGGCAAGCUUGAGUCUUGUAGAGGGGGGUAGAAUUCCAGGUGUAGCGGUGAAAUGCGUAGAGAUCUGGAGGAAUACCGGUGGCGAAGGCGGCCCCCUGGACAAAGACUGACGCUCAGGUGCGAAAGCGUGGGGAGCAAACAGG